CCUACGGGAGGCAGCAGUGGGGAAUAUUGGACAAUGGGCGAAAGCCUGAUCCAGCAAUGCCGCGUGAGUGAUGAAGGCCUUAGGGUUGUAAAGCUCUUUUACCAGGGAUGAUAAUGACAGUACCUGGAGAAUAAGCUCCGGCUAACUCCGUGCCAGCAGCCGCGGUAAUACGGAGGGAGCUAGCGUUGUUCGGAAUUACUGGGCGUAAAGCGUACGUAGGCGGUUAUUCAAGUCAGAGGUGAAAGCCUGGAGCUCAACUCCAGAACUGCCUUUGAAACUAGAUAGCUAGAAUCACGGAGAGGUUAGUGGAAUUCCGAGUGUAGAGGUGAAAUUCGUAGAUAUUCGGAAGAACACCAGUGGCGAAGGCGACUAACUGGACGUGUAUUGACGCUGAGGUACGAAAGCGUGGGGAGCAAACAGGAUUAGAUACCCUGGUAGUCCACGCCGUAAACGAUGAUAACUAGCCGUUCGGUCUCUACGAGACUGAGUGGCGCAGCUAACGCAUUAAGUUAUCCGCCUGGGGAGUACGGUCGCAAGAUUAAAACUCAAUGAAAUUGACGG
rnacentral:rRNA from 1 species